CGUGCCUAAUACAUGCAAGUCGAACGCAUUGUGGUUGAAAUGAUAUGAAGUAACUUGUUCAGAUUUGAUUUUCAACAUUGCAAUGAGUGGCGAACGGGUGAGUAACACGUGGGAAACCUACCUCUUAGCAGGGGAUAACAUUUGGAAACAAAUGCUAAUACCGUAUAAUAAUUAAAACCGCAUGGUUUUAGUUUAAAAGAUGGUCUUGCUAUCACUAAGAGAUGGUCCCGCGGUGUAUUAGUUAGUUGGUGAGGUAAUGGCUCACCAAGACAAUGAUACAUAGCCGAGUUGAGAGACUGACCGGCCACAGUGGGACUGAGACACGGCCCAUACUCCUACGGGAGGCAGCAGUAGGGAAUCUUCCACAAUGGACGAAAGUCUGAUGGAGCAACGCCGCGUGUGUGAUGAAGGGUUUCGGCUCGUAAAACACUGUUGUAAGAGAAGAAUGACAUUGAGAGUAACUGUUCAAUGUGUGACGGUAUCUUAUCAGAAAGGAACGGCUAAAUACGUG
rnacentral:rRNA from 1 species